rnacentral:lncRNA from 1 species
AACAGUGAUCUUAAAUAUAUACAGGUAUGUGUUAGCAGCUGCUCCAAGAGAAACAUGGGAUUAAAAGCAAUGCCUUCGAAAGACUUGAGAAAACAUUUUCUCUCAGACAGACUAUGGUAUGUGCAGUCUUAAUCCUUAUUGCACUUAAGGAUUUCUCCAUCAAAUGUUAAGAAUUGUGAAUUUGAAAAGGUCAAAAUAAAUGAUAAUUUCAUUUAUGCUAGACCUCAUAAUUGAAGUAAUGUUCUAUGCUUUUUCUAAGUUUGAUUUUGCCUUGUCUUAUAGCUGAAGGGAAAAUCCAAGUAAGCCAGUUGAUGGAAGAAUUGACUGCUGUUUUAGGAGAGCAGAUAGAUGUCAGUGACCUAGACAAGGCUCUGAAAGACAUGAAACUUGAGUUCACAGAAAGACAAUAUUCACAGCUAGUGAAAAUUCUACCACUGGAUGGCAAGUAUUUUAAAUGUAUACAUAUUCUUCAAAAGGCUUUAGAGUACUUGAUUGUGAGCUUCUCUUCUAAAAUGGUACUAAUUAUUACCAGUCAUUUAUAUCAUGUUUUAAAACUUUUAGAAUUACCAGAAUUUUGCCAAAGAAAAUCCAGGUCAUUUAUUUCUUGUUAUAGUAAGCAAUAACUGUUUCACUCAUUUCUGCUAGUAGCGUAUUGAUGUGCUUGCUUGCAUUAGCAUGCCUGAGAAUACAGAAAGGAUAAAAGAAAGAAAUACUAAAGAAUAUAAGGCAAAGGUUAAAAUAAAUCCAAUAGGAUAUGUGUUUCAAAA